UUUCAGUCUGACUUAAUAAACUCUAGUAACUUGUACUGGGCAAACGUUACACUCAUGUGUAUUCUUAUUAUUGCAUGUUUUGUACGGCUAUGUGAAGCUCUACUCUAGAUAAACUGGGAGAGAAGGAUGGUAUUAUGAAAGCACUUUAUAAAGACAGAUAUGAUAUACUGGACCAACUUAACAAUAACGUGCAUCCUUCUCAUUGCUUUACUUCUGUGGAUCUUUCAGAUUGUAGAGGGGCUUCUGCAGGAUGGUUUCCAAGAAAGAACUUUGG